CCAGUGCGGGCGUGCCUACACAUGCAAGUCGCACGAGAAAGGGGCUUCGGCUCUGAGUAAAGUGGCGCACGGGUGAGUAACACGUGAAUGAUCUACCUCCGAGUGGGGAAUAACUGAGAGAAAUCUUAGCUAAUACCGCAUAACACUUACGAGUCAAAGCAGCAAUGCGCUUGGAGAGGAGUUCGCGGCCGAUUAGUUAGUUGGCGGGGUAAUGGCCCACCAAGACGAUGAUCGGUAUCCGGCCUGAGAGGGCGCACGGACACACUGGAACUGAAACACGGUCCAGACUCCUACGGGAGGCAGCAGUGGGGAAUUUUGCGCAAUGGGGGAAACCCUGACGCAGCAACGCCGCGUGGAGGAUGAAAUCCCUUGGGAUGUAAACUCCUUUCGAUAGGGAAGAUUAUGACGGUACCUAUAGAAGAAGCC
rnacentral:rRNA from 1 species